rnacentral:ncRNA from 1 species
UUUACUAGGGGUGCCCUGUUUGGGCUGAGAGAGAAACAAGCGCGUUUCUUAACCCUUUGGACCUGAUCUGGUUCGUACCAGCGUGGGGAAGUAAAAAA